GACGAACGCUGGCGGCGUGCUUAACACAUGCAAGUCGAACGGAAAGGCCCUGCUUUUGUGGGGUGCUCGAGUGGCGAACGGGUGAGUAACACGUGAGUAACCUGCCCUUGACUUUGGGAUAACUUCAGGAAACUGGGGCUAAUACCGGAUAGGAGCUCCUGCUGCAUGGUGGGGGUUGGAAAGUUUCGGCGGUUGGGGAUGGACUCGCGGCUUAUCAGCUUGUUGGUGGGGUAGCGGCUUACCAAGGCUUUGGCGGGUAGCCGGCCUGAGAGGGUGACCGGCCACAUUGGGACUGAGGUACGGCCCAGACUCCUACGGGAGGCAGCAGUGGGGAAUAUUGCACAAUGGGCGGAAGCCUGAUGCAGCAACGCCGCGUGUGGGAUGACGGCCUUCGGGUUGUAAACCGCUUUCGCCUGUGACGAAGCGUGAGUGACGGUAAUGGGUAAAGAAGCACCGGCUAACUACGUG
rnacentral:rRNA from 1 species